rnacentral:rRNA from 1 species
CAACAGGGAUUGCCCUAGUAACGGCGAGUGAAGCGGCAACAGCUCAAAUUUGAAAUCUGGCCUCGGCCCGAGUUGUAAUUUGUAGAGGAUGCUUUUGAUGCGGCGCCUUCUGAGUUCCCUGGAACGGGACGCCAGAGAGGGUGAGAGCCCCGUAGAGUCGGACGCCAAGUCUCUGUAAAGCUCCUUCGACGAGUCGAGUAGUUUGGGAAUGCUGCUCAAAAUGGGAGGUAAAUUUCUUCUAAAGCUAAAUACCGGCCAAAGACCGAUAGCGCACAAGUAGAGUGAUCGAAAGAUGAAAAGCACUUUGAAAAGAGGGUUAAAAAGCACGUGAAAUUGUUGAAAGGGAAGCGCUCAUGACCAGACUUGCGCCUUGUGGAUAAGCCAGCGUUCUCGCUGGUGUUUCUGCUCGGUUCAGGCCAGCAUCGGUUUUCUUAGGGGGAUAAAAGCUUCGGGAACGUGGCUCCUCCGGGAGUGUUAUAGCCCGCUGCACAAUAUCCCUAGGGGGACCGAGGCCCGCGCUUCGGCAAGGAUGCUGGCGUAAUGGUCAUCAGCGACCCGUCUUGAAACACGGACCAAGGAGUCAAGCAUUAGGGCGAGUGUUUGGGUGUAAAACCCGCACGCGAAAUGAAAGUGAACGCUGGUGAGAGCUUCGGCGCAUCAUCGACCGAUCCUGAUGUACUCGGAUGGAUUUGAGUAAGAGCCUUACCGCUUGGACCCGAAAGUUGAUGAACUAUGCCUGUAUAGGGUGAAGCCAGAGGAAACUCUGGUGGAGGCUCGCAGCGGUUCUGACGUGCAAAUCGAUCGUCAAAUAUGGGCAUGGGGGCGAAAGACUAAUCGAACCAU